rnacentral:rRNA from 2 species
AGAGUUUGAUCCUGGCUCAGAACGAACGCUGGCGGCGUGCUUAACACAUGCAAGUCGAACGUGAUUGAGAGCUUGCUCUCAUGAAAGUGGCGCACGGGUGAGUAACACGUGGAUAAUCUGCCUGGCGAUUCGGGAUAACACUUCGAAAGGGGUGCUAAUGCCGGAUAAGCCCACGGUCUCUUCGGAGAGCGCGGGAAAAGGGGGCCUCUGUAUAUGCUCCUGUCGCUAGAUGAGUCCGCGGCCCAUUAGCUAGUUGGUGGGGUAAAGGCCUACCAAGGCGACGAUCAGUAGCCGGCCUGAGAGGGUGAACGGCCACACUGGGACUGAGACACGGCCCAGACUCCUACGGGAGGCAGCAGUGGGGAAUUUUGCGCAAUGGGGGAAACCCUGACGCAGCAACGCCGCGUGAGUGAUGAAGGCUUUCGGGUCGUAAAGCUCUGUCAGAGGGGAAGAAAUGAGAUUGGCUAAUAUCCAAUUUUCUUGACGGUACCCUCAAAGGAAGCACCGGCUAACUCCGUGCCAGCAGCCGCGGUAAUAC